rnacentral:rRNA from 1 species
UACGUAGGGCGCAAGCGUUGUCCGGAAUUAUUGGGCGUAAAGAGCUCGUAGGCGGUUUGUCGCGUCUGCUGUGAAAACCUGAGGCUCAACCUCGGGCUUGCAGUGGGUACGGGCAGACUAGAGUGCGGUAGGGGUGACUGGAAUUCCUGGUGUAGCGGUGAAAUGCGCAGAUAUCAGGAGGAACACCGAUGGCGAAGGCAGUGUUCUGGGCCAGUACUGACGCUGAGGAGCGAAAGCGUGGGGAGCAAACAGG